rnacentral:rRNA from 1 species
UACGUAGGGGGCAAGCGUUGUCCGGAUUUAUUGGGCGUAAAGAGCGUGUAGGCGGCCAUGUAGGUCCGUUGUGAAAACUCGAGGUUCAACCUCGAGACGCCGAUGGAAACCAUGUGGCUAGAGUCCGGAAGAGGAGAGUGGAAUUCCUGGUGUAGCGGUGAAAUGCGCAGAUAUCAGGAAGAACACCCGUGGCUAAGGCGGCUCUCUAGUACGGUACUGACGCUGAGACGCGAAAGCGUGGGGAGCGAACAGG